GACGAACGCUGGCGGCGUGCCUAACACAUGCAAGUCGAGCGAUUCUCUUCGGGGAAGAGCGGCGGACGGGUGAGUAACGCGUGGGUAACCUGCCCUGUACACACGGAUAACAUACCGAAAGGUAUGCUAAUACGAGAUAAUAUGCUUUUAUCGCAUGGUAGAAGUAUCAAAGCUUUUGCGGUACAGGAUGGACCCGCGUCUGAUUAGCUAGUUGGUAAGGUAACGGCUUACCAAGGCGACGAUCAGUAGCCGACCUGAGAGGGUGAUCGGCCACAUUGGAACUGAGACACGGUCCAAACUCCUACGGGAGGCAGCAGUGGGGAAUAUUGCACAAUGGGCGAAAGCCUGAUGCAGCAACGCCGCGUGAGCGAUGAAGGCCUUCGGGUCGUAAAGCUCUGUCCUCAAGGAAGAUAAUGACGGUACUUGAGGAGGAAGCCCCGGCUAACUACGUGCCAGCCGCCGCCGUAA
rnacentral:rRNA from 1 species